GCCAGCAACCAUAUUACCCUGCAACUCACAACUGGCAACUCCUUGAAGCUAAGCAGGUGUUAGCCUGGUCAGUACCUGGAUGAGAGACUUCAUGGGAAAGCUAAGGUUGCUGCUGGUA
rnacentral:rRNA from 1 species